ACUUAUUGCCUUACUAAUAAGUAAAUUAUCGACGUAUACAUUGACAUAUUAUUUGAUGAGAAGAGAGGUUGACAGAAGAUGAGGAAAGAUGGAAGAUGGAGAAGAAAGGUUGACGGCUAGUGAUGGUGCACAUAGAAGGAAUUAAGACUCAAUGAGAUUUAGGUUAUUUAUUUAAUAAAAUGAGAUGGACUAGAAUUGUGUACGGUUGGUUCUGUUGCACUACUAUAGCAUCG
rnacentral:lncRNA from 1 species